rnacentral:rRNA from 1 species
UACGUAGGUGGCGAGCGUUGUCCGGAUUUAUUGGGCGUAAAGAGCCCGCAGGCGGCUUGGCAAGUGGAUGGUGAAAUCCCCUCGGCUUAACCGGGGAACUGCCGUCCAAACUGCUUUGCUUGAGACCGGGAGAGGUGAGUGGAAUUCCCAGUGUAGCGGUGAAAUGCGUAGAUAUCGAGAGGAACACCUGCGGCGAAGGCGGGUUGCUGGGCUGACACUGACGCUGAUUGUGCGAAAGCUAGGGGAGCGAACGGG